rnacentral:tRNA from 1 species
CGGGGAGUAGUAUAAUGGUAGAAUACGCGCAUGGGGUGCGUGUGGUGGGAGUUCGAUUCUCCCCUCCCCGACAA